UCCUCCCUACGGGGGGCAGCAGUGAGGAAUAUUGGUCAAUGGUCGGGAGACUGAACCAGCCAAGCCGCGUGAGGGAGGAAGGUACAGAGUAUCGUAAACCUCUUUUGUCAGGGAACAAAGACUGGGACGCGUCCCCGGAUGAGUGUACCUGAAGAAAAAGCAUCGGCUAACUCCGUGCCAGCAGCCGCGGUAAUACGUAGGGGGCAAGCGUUAUCCGGAAUUACUGGGUGUAAAGGGAGCGUAGACGGUUAAGUAAGUCUGGAGUGAAAGGCCGGGGCCCAGCCCCGGGACUGCUCUGGAAACUA
rnacentral:rRNA from 1 species